CUGUUGCUGCCUAUGAUGAAGCUCAUGUUGGUAGGGACAUCUGACAUUUGGCUGAUGAAUGCCAACGGCUCUGACGGCGGCGG